rnacentral:lncRNA from 1 species
AUGAGCCUUAACGACGCUCCCUGGGGUGGGGAGUGGAGGGCUUCUCCGAUCUGCCCCUUUGACCCGGGGCUUCGGCUUCAGCUCUGCCGCCUCAUUUCCCUCCCGCGCUGCCUGGAGGCUCGUCCUGCUGGCAGGAGGUCGGCUGCACACAGCUGCCUCUCGGGUUGUGGCCUCAGGGUCUGCCUCGUCCCUCAACACGCCUGGGGACGCCGAGGGAGCCCCUCACCCUUCUGGUGCUGCUCAGAAGAAACUACAGGCAAGAAGACUCCAGUAAAGGCAAGGCACAUAGUCAUGAAUAAAGGAAGACUUCAACAGUAACAGCAAAAUCAAAGUUAUGUGCCCUCAUGGUGGCUCCUUUUAGGCUGGUGUCCUCACUAAGAAAUCAGACUUCCCUUGGCUGUACAGCUCCUGGGACUUGCAUGAACACUUGGCUGUUUUG